UAUGCAGUGAGACACCAGCAGGUGGGAGAGAGGCCUCCCCACAGCUGUGAGGUCACCAACAUCCUGGUUCCCUUCAGCACAAGAAAAAGUCAGCAUGAGAGGAAAUUGGACAAUUCCAACAGGAAGGUGACUCUCUUUCUCUUACAUAUGAGGGAAUAUGGCAACUACUGCCCAGGAGGUUAAGACUUGGCUGAGGCUGGAGAGGAAAAAGUGAGGCUCCUGGCCAGAGACAGAAAGGGAAAGGCACAAGUUUAGUCUGGCGAACACAACCCAGGUUGAGAAUAGGGAGCAGGGAGGCAGCAGCAGCAGGAGGAAGAAAGCCCACACCACAUAUCUGGACUCACGGACACCUGGG